GCCAGGCAUGGUGGUGCAUGCCUGUAAUCCCAGCUACUCAGGAGGCUGAGGCAGGAGAAUUGCUUGAAUCUGGGAGGCAGAGGUUACAGUGAGCCAAGAGCAUGCCACUGCACUCUAGCCUGGGUGACAGAGCAAGACUCUGUCUCAA
ensembl:misc_RNA Metazoa_SRP Metazoan signal recognition particle RNA